AAGAGUACGUGAAACCGUUCAGGGGUAAACCUGCGAAACUCGAAUGAACGAACGGAGAGAUUCAUCGCAUUCCGCGGCGUACGAGCGCGCGCCUCGAUGUCGCGUACCGCGGUUUAACGAUCGCGUGUCUCGCGGCACGGGUCGCGCUCGUCGACGUCCGCGGACGGCGUGCACUUCUCUCUUAGUAUAAAUAUGCAUCGCGACCCGUUCGAUGUCGGUCUGAGCGCCGUGCGGGAGCCUAGCGGCGCGUCGUCCCUCGCGGGACCGAGCCGCUAGACCGCCACGGUGGCCGACCGGCCGUCGGACGGUCAGUACGAACGAUCGAAUCGCGCACGCGUGUUCUCGAACAGCGCGUCCGGCCCGACGCAAGACCUCGUCUCGGUCCGGCCGUCUGCCGUUGUGCGACACCGGACCGGGCGGAUCUGCAUCUAACAUAGCUGCCGUGCAGUCUCGGACAGUGCGCGUGUCCAGUCGGCGAUGAUUCAGUUUCGGG
rnacentral:rRNA from 1 species